rnacentral:rRNA from 1 species
UACGGGGAGGGCAAGCGUUGUUCGGAAUUACUGGGCGUAAAGGGCUCGUAGGCGGCCAACUAAGUCGGAUGUGAAAUCCCCAGGCUCAACUUGGGAACUGCAUCCGAUACUGGAUGGCUUGAAUUCGGGAGAGGGAUGCAGAAUUCCAGGUGUAGCGGUGAAAUGCGUAGAUAUCUGGAGGAAUACCGGUGGCGAAGGCGGCAUCCUGGACCGACAUUGACGCUGAGGAGCGAAAGCCAGGGGAGCAAACAGG